AUCGCCUUCGCUGCCGAUCGUGACGCCCUUGUGCAGGAAGCCGCCCUUGACGGAAUAAGUGGUGAGCGCCUGAGCGGUAACCGUGGGAUCAGCCUUGCCGGUGCGCAUAUUAUAAAACGUGCCCUGAUCGUCCAUGUAGAUCGUCGGAUAGAUGGUGGAUGUCACAGCCGCGGGAAUUUCCGUGCGCGGCACGCCCGCGCGAUCGAACGCAUGCAGCGCGCCGGGAAACAGCUCCAUGACCACAUCCUGCUUGGCGACGUCCAUGGCAUGCGCCGCAUCCUGACAUUGCUGCGGAGACACCCAGUUGUCGCGGUCGCCCGACAUGAUCAGCAGGC
rnacentral:misc_RNA from 1 species